GACGAGACGACGUAUUUCCUGCGGAACGGCAGAACCUUGACGUAAAAAAACUGCCCACCUCCGCAAAGUUUAUACAAAUUAACAACGCGUAACCUAGAACACCGCAACGUCACUUCUUAUUCAUAGGCUAUAAAUGUCUGGGAUGGGCGCGAAGGUUCUAUCUGAGGCGAAAGGUCAAUUCUUCGCAUUCUCUGACAUCAUCAAGAAGAUGAGUCAAGUGUUGCCACACUAUGUAUACCAAACGUCGCAUUUCACUGGAAACCGUUUCGAAACGUAGCAAAAAAAGAUGGUUUUGCUUUCCAUGAGAAACAAGACGAAAGAUAGCGGCAUAGGAUAAACAAGUAAACCUCCCAUGUUGUGACGUAAACUGCUUAGAAACGGCGAAACAUUUAUAGUAAGGAAUUCACCAUGGCUUCUCUUGUGUCUCACUGCGUAAUUGGAAUGUUUCAUGCGUCGACUUGCAAAAGAGGUCAACUGUUUCAUACUGCUAAAACGUACACAAGAAGCAACCUUGAGGCCAAACGUUAAGCUGGCGAUUGAAAAGCUGUGUUGUGCACAGUGAAGUUUUUCAGUGAGUUUCCUUUUGAAGAUUGGUAGGAUUUUGCGUUUCGCACUUGAAGAACAAUCUUUUGCGGUUCGAGAUGAACGGCAUUUCUGCUGGGAACUAUUUCGUUGAUUUUUGGUUGAAACAACAGAGCACAAGGAGAGAGGAGAUACUUCAUAUCAUCCUACCAGUCGACUUAUUAAUUUAAUUAAAUUUAAUCAAAUUUGCGGUGCUUUCUUGGUAUUUUCAAAAUUUUUCAUUAUUUUUUCCUCAGGAACUUAUCAUCGAAAAGUGUGCACAAUCUCCCUAAUCCACACAACUCAAAUUCGCAAAAUUUUUGUGAAUGUGCGUUCCGUUACGAAGGUUGAGAGUACUCGAAGCAUUGUGCACGAGUCACCAAUUUAUCCUUCACUUCAGCUCAAAAUUCGCAAAAUUUUUAUGAAUGAUUCGUUCUGUUUUGAACGUUGGGAUUACUCGAAACUUUGAUUCUUCUGCAUUAUGCACGAGUCACCAAUUUAUCCUGCACUAGAGCUCUACACUGCUAAGACUCUACUGAAGUUUUACCUCAGUUACGGCUAGUACCGUCUCGUCUCAAAACUGCCUCUGCUUCUCUUCCGCUAAACCGGGCUUCAUUUACUUCUUCUAAAGUAGCGGAUACUUUAUCUUCCUCCUUUUGUCUUUGAUCAAACCAAGACACGAUCACUUAUAUCUGUUUCAACCGGGUUAAUGGCAUGCAAAUCUAUUUAACGACCUUCCUUUAUUGCUUAAGGACUGUUUGCCAAACAAAAGGUCACCCACAUAUUGCGCAAGUUUCCCUUUAGCUGGGUUUUACGAUGGGAACGCGUUUAAGAUACGUUAGACGUACUUUUAUUUACAUCGUUGUUAAUAAUUACUAAGCUUACGUUAAAGAUGUACCAAGAAAAAAGGCAAAAGUUACAGAUGGGAAGAUGCCGACAACAAAACUACUUAGAUUCACAGACAUGGUUUAAUACUACCUUGGAGAAAGAUCAAGGCCCGGAUUGUGUUCGUAUUUGUCUGAUGCGAUUAAGUGCUUCCGCAAAUUUAUUUUGUAAAUAUUUCUUUGAAGUGAUGGGAAAAACGCCAAAUCGGCGACAAAAUGUCCUGAGGCGAAGUUCCUAAUUUCCGACAAUUUACAUAGUUACAGAUCAAGGAACACUCUUUCUUAAACUAAAAAAAACUUGGAGUUGAUUAUAAGAAACUGUUUGUUCGAUCAAAUAGUCGCUUAUUAUGUCGAGACUUAACUAGUAAUAGUAAAAAAAAAUCCCCAUUGAAAAGGCACGUGCCACAAAUAUAUUAUCGUAUCAGCAAAUAAAUACUUUUAUUGCAAAAUAAUGCUCAAGGGAUUUUAAUGCUGACUGACGUCAAAUAAGAUUUCACGCGAUUUCUUACACCGUUUUUUGGUUCAAUCAAUGACGAAAUUUUAUUGAAUUGAUUUAUGUUUGGUUUGUAUCAAUACAACGGGGAUAAACAUUUCCAAGAAUUUUUUCUGUAUAUACUGCAGCCAGGCAAACCCAACGAAUAAUUCAUUUCAUUAAAUUCAAAGUCCAGUUGCGGAGAAAAAACACACUUAAUCUAAUUUUUGAUCAGCCUCUAAUUACAGUCAUAAACAAGAUUACUGAAUAAGGAUUGGUAAUAAAAGUAUUAUCUUAA